rfam:Bombyx mori DNA, contig: Bm_scaf29_contig18389, strain: p50T/Dazao, build 2, whole genome shotgun sequence.
CUAAUUCAAAUUUGUACGGAGUUGGAACGUUUGCCUACGUUUGCCGCUAGGGGCGCUGUUCCAACUGCAUACAUAUCUGAGUUA